CCUUUGUACACACCGCCCGUCGCUACUACCGAUUGAAUGGCUCAGUGAGGCUUUCGGACUGGCCCAGAAGGGUGGGCAACUACCCCUCCGGGCCGGAAAGUUAUCCAAACUCGGUCAUUUAGAGG
rnacentral:rRNA from 1 species